AACUUUUGGCAACGGAUCUCUUGGCUCUCGCAUCGAUGAAGAACGCAGCGAAUCGCGAUAUGUAAUGUGAAUUGCAGAUCUACAGUGAAUCAUCGAAUCUUUGAACGCACCUUGCGCUCCUCGGUGUUCCGAGGAGCAUGCCUGUUUGAGUGUCAGUAAAUUCUCAACCCCUCUCGAUUUGCUUCGAGCGGGUGCUUGGAUGUUGGGGGCUGCCGGAGACACUGGAUUCGUCCAGGACUCGGGCUCCUCUUAAAUGAAUCGGCUCGCGGUCGACUUUCGACUUUGCAUGACAAGGCCUUUGGCGUGAUAAUGAUCGCCGUUCGCCGAAGUGCAAGACAGAAUGGUCCCGUGCCUCUAAUGCGUCGACGCCUCUAGGGGCGUCUUCCUCAUUGACGUUUGACCUCAAAUCAGGUAGGACUACCCGCUGAACUUAAGCAUAUCAAUAAGCGGAGGCU
rnacentral:misc_RNA from 1 species